rnacentral:rRNA from 1 species
UACGUAGGGGGCUAGCGUUGUCCGGAAUCAUUGGGCGUAAAGAGCGUGUAGGCGGCCCGGUAAGUCCGCUGUAAAAGUCAAAGGCUCAACCUUUGAAUGUCAGUGGAUACUGCCGGGCUAGAGUCCGGAAGAGGCGAGUGGAACUCCUGGUGUAGCGGUGGAAUGCGGCAGAUAUCAGGAAGAACACCAACGGCGAAGGCAGCUCGCUGGGACGGUACUGACGCUGAGACGCGAAAGCGUGGGAGCGAACAGG